rnacentral:rRNA from 1 species
UACCAGCACCCCGAGUGGUCGGGACGAUUAUUGGGCCUAAAGCAUCCGUAGCCGGUUCUGCAAGUCCCCCGUUAAAUCCAGCUGCUCAACAGAUGGGCCGCGGAGGAUACUACAGAGCUAGGAGGCAGGAGAGGCAAGCGGUACUCAGUGGGUAGGGGUAAAAUGCAUCGAUAUAUGGAUGAACACCAAUAACGGCGAAGGCAGUUAACUAGUCUGUUACUGACAUUGAGGCACGAAAGCGUGGGGAGCAAAACGG